GAAUUUCGGGGUUAGUAGACGGCAGUGUAGACGCCGGCAUUCACUAGGUUUACUGAUUCCUCCUUCCUGAUGAACUGUAAUGCCAUUGAUUUGGUGUUGCAGGGAAUCUGGACUGUUACUUUGAAAAAAUUAGAGUGUUUAAAGCAGGCUAACGCUUGAAUACAUUAGCAUGGAAUAAUGAAAUAGGACGUUCGAUCCUAUUUUGUUGGUUUCUAGGAUUGACGU
rnacentral:rRNA from 1 species